GCACACAGGCAGAACCUCAUUAGGCACUGAGAAACAGAUGCAGUUAAAACAUUUCACUUGUGUGUUGCGCUGAGAAGAAAUACAAAGACAGGGAAUGUCGACAUGAAAUCCUGAGGACAGUCUCAGAGAAGCCGGGGCUGUCACUGCUCCUGUGCCGUCAGAAUGCCAUCAGAACCGUCCUGAGAAUCGGGACCCGUUUUAAGAAAAUGCACACAGCUGCUGGACAGAUAAGAGACGGUGACCAAGGGGACAGGAUGCAGAGCGCCCUCUCAGCUAUCCCGAGGCCCCUUCUUGCCAGGCUUACAGGUCUCCUGGAUGUCAAGCUGGGACCAGGAGAGGGACAGCGGCAGAGCAGUGCCAGUGUGCUGUCCCCCCAUCCUUAAAUCCUGUCACCUCCUCUCCAGGAGGGGGAUCUGUCAAGGUGACAUGUGGGUGAAGCAUUUAAAAUGGGUUUGGCUAAACUGGUGAAAUGGUUUUUAUAUCUAAACUGCUUUCUGUUGUUGGAGAAAAUAAAUAUAUUGUGAACUGGUUA